UUCGAGGAGGCUGGUGAGAGAGUGGUGGAGAAAUUCAUUCGGGACGCCUGUUCAUUUCGUUCCCCCUCUCUCUGGUUGUUCUCACUCCUCUUUCAUCGCUCGCAACGACCGGCGAUUCGCCUCCAUCCGCUCUCAUCUCCUACAUCGGCGCCAUCCUCUGGAUCCCGACGGGCAUCCUCGGCGGUUCGGGAGCUCAGUGCAAGCAUCUGGAAUCCGGCGAGAUGAUCGGGGGGAGGAGGCGAUGCCGCUGCGGCCCAGCGAGCGGACGGAGCUCCGGCGGAGCGGCUUCAAGGCGUCGGUGGACGGGCGAGGGGCGGCGACGGCGCAGCGCGUCGACGUCACCGUCGGUAUCUGCAAGGGCGGCCGCGGCAGCGCGCUGGCGAAGGGCCGCGGCGGCGGCGGCGGCGGCGCAGCACCCGCCGCUAGCCGUCGACAAGGAGUUGGCUAAGCGGUUGUUUUCGGAUGAGAGCAGAAUGUAGUUGGAGGCCGUCCGUCAGAGAGUUCAGGGACCUGCAUUCGAUCGCUCGAGUUUAUGUAAACUGCUCUGGUCGUUAACAAUGGUAACAAAAAUCAGAGAACCCCCCGAUUGACAAGGUGAUCGGCUCUGGAGUGCUACCGUGCUUUCUACAUUUGAUUUCUAGGGAGGAGUGCCCUGACCUUCAGAUUUUCAAUCUUACAGGUACGCAUCUACAACAGUGGAAAUUUUUUGGGAGGGGGGAGCAAUGAGGUGGAUCCAGCACAUUUGUCUUGUCCGGACGAAGUUCAGUUUUUGCACUUCUAGCAACUUUGUAACACAAGAUCUGCAUUUUUGCAUCAGGGGAUGUCUUUUUUUUUCUGUGGAUCUCUUUUUGUUGCUGGAACCCGAAAAACAUGCAUCUGUAGAUGAUGGGCACAUAUAAAAAUCUCUUUGGACCCA